rnacentral:rRNA from 1 species
UGGUGCGAUCAUACCAGCGUUAAUGCAUCGGAUCCCUUAAGAACUUCGCAGUUAAGUGUGCUUGCGCUAGAGUAGUACUGGGAUGGGUGACCUUCCGGGAGGUCAUGGUGUUGCACCCU